GACGAACGCUGGCGGCGUGCUUAACACAUGCAAGUCGAACGGUAAGGCUCCAGCUUGCUGGGGUACACGAGUGGCGAACGGGUGAGUAACACGUGGGUGACCUGCCCUGCACUUCGGGAUAAGCCUGGGAAACUGGGUCUAAUACCGGAUAGGACCAUGGUGUGGAUACUGUGGUGGAAAGUUUUUUCGGUGUGGGAUGGGCCCGCGGCCUAUCAGCUUGUUGGUGGGGUAAUGGCCUACCAAGGCGGCGACGGGUAGCCGGCCUGAGAGGGUGGACGGCCACAUUGGGACUGAGACACGGCCCAGACUCCUACGGGAGGCAGCAGUGGGGAAUAUUGCACAGUGGGCGGAAGCCUGAUGCAGCGACGCCGCGUGGGGGAUGACGGCCUUCGGGUUGUAAACUCCUUUCACCAUCGACGAAGGGUUUCUGACGGUAGAUGGAGAAGAAGCACCGGCUAACUACGUG
rnacentral:rRNA from 1 species